rnacentral:lncRNA from 12 species
AGUGUCCUCCAACAUGUUUUUGCCUUCCCUGGGGGGUUUCCUUACAUAUUUAUCUGUGAUAAAAAUAAUUAGAUUUUUUUAAGCCUAUAAAAGUCCUAACUACAUGCCUUUAACUACUUUUUUUUUUCCUUUUUUACUUUGUUUUAUUUUUCUUGUUUUUUAAGGAGGUAAAGUGCUGCACUGCUGGAUUGCUGUUUCCUGACUGCACUUCCAAAGGCAGUAAUUCAAACAAAGGCUUCCAAGACAGUAGUAAAAGAUGCAAUAGAGUAAUCAGCAAAUAUACGACUUUGUAUCAACUAAAAGCACUUUACAGAAGAGGAGAGACUCCAAGGCAACAGAUUUCCUACAGCAGUACUUUCCUAAGUGUACUAAGGUAAUUAGCCUCAAUAGGAGAUAAUUUUGGUUCACAGGGGUUGCUGUUGUUUUAAGUCUUUCUGGGAAAUUUGGAUUUUCCAUUGAUAGCAGUUUUAACAUGUCACACUGGAGCCAGAGUGAAUUAAAGUGAAGAGCUACACAGUCUAAACAAACAUUCCUUCCCAUUAUCAGAAGCCUGACAACAUAAUAGCAUAAACUAUAGUCAUGUGGUCACAUUCACAAGUAAUACAAGAACAAUUAAAAAUCAAAGAAAUGCUACAUUUCCUAAACCAGACUUGAGCUGAGGUGAGCAUGUUUAAAAUUACCACGUUCUUCCCCUCCCCCAUAAGUUUUAUAGUAAGUUUUAAAUUGAAAAAAAAUAUACGGCAAUGUUUACUGGAGUCAUUCACAUGAUUAGUCUACCUCAAUGUUUUGUGAGAUUAAGACAGACCAUGGUGAUAUGACAGUAUAAUUUCAGGUGUUUAUGUCUUGAAAAUACUUUUGAUUUGGCAUUCUUAAUGUUUCUAAAAAUAUUUUUUUAUUUUACCAAAAGCGCACAAUUAUGCAAACUAAUUUAGAGCUGUACUUCCAUUACAUUUUACAUUUUCCCCAAGGAUGUUAAUAAAAUUUGGUUUUAUUUACUAUGAAGACCCCUU